rnacentral:rRNA from 1 species
UACGUAGGGGGCAAGCGUUAUCCGGAUUUACUGGGUGUAAAGGGAGCGUAGACGGCGAUGCAGGCCAGAUGUGAAAGCCCGGGGCUCAACCCCGGGACUGCAUUUGGAACUGUGUGGCUGGAGUGUCGGAGAGGCAAGUGGAAUUCCUAGUGUAGCGGUGAAAUGCGUAGAUAUUAGGAGGAACACCAGUGGCGAAGGCGGCUUGCUGGACGAUGACUGACGUUGAGGCUCGAAAGCGUGGGGAGCAAACAGG